AUUGAACGCUGGCGGCAGGCCUAACACAUGCAAGUCGAACGAGUGGCGGACGGGUGAGUAAUGUCUGGGAAACUGCCCGAUGGAGGGGGAUAACUACUGGAAACGGUAGCUAAUACCGCAUACCAUCGGAUGUGCCCAGAUGGGCUUAGCUAGUGGGUGGGGUAACGGCUCACCUAGGCGACGAUCCCUAGCUGGUCGGAGAGGAUGACCGGCCACACUGGACCUGAGACACGGUCCAGAGUCCUACGGGAGGCAGCAGUGGGGAAUAUUGCACAAUGGGCGCAAGCCUGAUGCAGCCAUGCCGCGUGUAUGAAGAAGGCCUUCGGGUUGUAAAGUAUUGUCAGCGAGGAGGCGUUACUCGCAGAAGAAGCAACGGCUAACUCCGUGCCAGCCGCCGCGGUAAUUC
rnacentral:rRNA from 1 species